AAAUAGAAAGCAAAUUGCAAUCAGUUUCGACCUGAUCUUUGGUGACUUCACCUCUAUUUA
rnacentral:tRNA from 1 species